rnacentral:rRNA from 1 species
UACGUAGGGGGCAAGCGUUGUCCGGAAUCAUUGGGCGUAAAGAGCGUGUAGGCGGCCCGGUAAGUCCGCUGUGAAAGUCCAGGGCUCAACCCUGGGAUGCCGGUGGAUACUGUCGGGCUCGAGUCCGGAAGAGGAGUGUGGAAUUCCUGGUGUAGCGGUGAAAUGCGCAGAUAUCAGGAGGAACACCGAUGGCGAAGGCAGGUCUCUGGGCCACUACUGACGCUGAGACACGAAAGCCAGGGGAGCAAACGGG